AUGGCGGUUCUUGGUGCGGGUCCACCAGUAGACAUCAACAAUCCACACAUCCAAUGGCUUGGCAGGUGGGCGGUGGAAGAGCACGUCAGGCUGGUACAGGACGGGAUCAAAUUCAACAAAGUGGUGAGAGCCGAGAGUGACGAUGAGUCGGAACUAGGCGUGCUCCUCCAUCUCUUCAUCGAUGCAACCAACGGAGAUGGCAAGGAUGCCAAAUACGAGGCGGUUGCGGACCAGAUUCACGGGAUAUAUAAACCCGGUCUCUUGGAAUUUAAGCCGGCUAACUGA
rnacentral:rRNA from 1 species